ensembl:lncRNA
GGAGGUAUAGAGGUAAGUGACUGUAGGUGGAGGUAAAGAGGUAUGGGACUGUAGAUGGAGGUAGAGAGGUAUAGGACUGGAGGUGGAGGUAAAGAGGUAUGUGACUGUAGGUGGAGGUAAAGAGGUAUGGGACUGUAGGUGGAGGUAAAGAGGUAUGCGACUGGAGGUGGAGGUAUGGGACUGUAGGUGGAGGUAUAGAGGUAUACAGGUGGAGGUAAAGAGGUAUGUGACUGUAGGUGGAGGUAUAGAGGUAUGGGACUGGAGGUGGAGGUAUAGAGGUAAGUGAAUGUAGGUGAAGGUAUGGGACUGUAGGUGGAGGUAUAGAGGUAUGGGACUGUAGGUGGAGGUAAAGAGGUAUGGGACUGUAGGUGGAGGUAAAGAUGUAUGGGACUGUAGGUGGAGUUAUGUUACUGUAGGUGGAGGUAAAGAUGUAUGGGACUGUAGGUGGAGGUAAAGAGGUAUGUGACUGUAG